AACGAACGCUGGCGGCAUGCCUAACACAUGCAAGUCGAACGAAGGCUUCGGCCUUAGUGGCGCACGGGUGCGUAACGCGUGGGAAUCUGCCCUUGGGUGCGGAAUAACUCGGAGAAAUCCGUGCUAAUACCGCAUAAUGUCGCAAGACCAAAGAUUUAUCGCCCAAGGAUGAGCCCGCGUAGGAUUAGCUAGUUGGUGGGGUAAAGGCCUACCAAGGCGACGAUCCUUAGCUGGUCUGAGAGGAUGAUCAGCCACACUGGGACUGAGACACGGCCCAGACUCCUACGGGAGGCAGCAGUGGGGAAUAUUGGACAAUGGGCGAAAGCCUGAUCCAGCAAUGCCGCGUGAGUGAUGAAGGCCUUAGGGUUGUAAAGCUCUUUUACCCGGGAUGAUAAUGACAGUACCGGGAGAAUAAGCUCCGGCUAACUCCGUGCCAGCAGCCGCGGUAAUACGGAGGGAGCUAGCGUUGUUCGGAAUUACUGGGCGUAAAGCGCACGUAGGCGGUUUUUUAAGUCAGAGGUGAAAGCCCGGGGCUCAACCCCGGAAUUGCCUUUGAAACUGGAAAACUUGAAUCUUGGAGAGGUCAGUGGAAUUCCGAGUGUAGAGGUGAAAUUCGUAGAUAUUCGGAAGAACACCAGUGGCGAAGGCGACUGACUGGACAAGUAUUGACGCUG
rnacentral:rRNA from 1 species